GCCAGUGUGGUGUAGUGGUUUGAGCAGUGGACUGGGACUCUGGGGACCAGGGUUCAAAUCCCAGUUUGGCC